ensembl:lncRNA
AAGUGCACCAACGACCCAGCGGCGCCGCACUACGAGCACGAGGACAUUCGUUAGGCCCACCGAGGGACCUCAGAUGCUGUAUAUGUACGCCGAUUUCUGAUGGCCAUGAUUUGAUUUAUUUUCCAAAGGUAUGUGGCUCCAUAAUGUAAAUAGGUUGUAAUAAAUGCUGUAACUGACUACAGUUAUGCCCAUUCAUGGGAAGUUGAAUGUUUUGUUUUGUAUGUAUUUUCUAUUACUAGUAAUCAGGCAGAAAAGCCGUUGCUUUUGAUCUGGUGCUGUAUAUGUACACCGAUUUCUGAUGGCCAUGAUUUGAUUUAUUUUCCAAAG